rnacentral:rRNA from 1 species
CAGUCGCCGCGGUAAUACGUAGGUGGCAAGCGUUGUCCGGAAUUAUUGGGCGUAAAGGGCUCGCAGGCGGUUUCUUAAGUCUGAUGUGAAAGCCCCCGGCUCAACCGGGGAGGGUCAUUGGAAACUGGGAAACUUGAGUGCAGAAGAGGAGAGUGGAAUUCCACGUGUAGCGGUGAAAUGCGUAGAGACGUGGAGGAACACCAGUGGCGAAGGCGACUCUCUGGUCUGUAACUGACGCUGAGGAGCGAAAGCGUGGGGAGCGAACAGGAUUAGAUACCCGGGUAGUCCCUGUCUCUUAUAC